GUGAGGAAUAUUGGUCAAUGGGCGAGAGCCUGAACCAGCCAAGUCGCGUGAAGGAUGAAGGAUCUAUGGUUUGUAAACUUCUUUUAUAUGGGAAUAAAGUGAGGAACGUGUUCCUUUUUGUAUGUACCAUAUGAAUAAGCAUCGGCUAACUCCGUGCCAGCAGCCGCGGUAAUACGGAGGAUGCGAGCGUUAUCCGGAUUUAUUGGGUUUAAAGGGUGCGUAGGUGGUUUUUUAAGUCAGCGGUGAAAGUUUGUGGCUCAACCAUAAAAUUGCCGUUGAAACUGGGGAACUUGAGUAUAUUUGAGGUAGGCGGAAUGCGUGGUGUAGCGGUGAAAUGCAUAGAUAUCACGCAGAACUCCGAUUGCGAAGGCAGCUUACUAAACUAUAACUGACACUGAAGCACGAAAGCGUGGGGAUCAAACAGGAUUAGAAACCCCAGUAGUCC
rnacentral:rRNA from 1 species